rnacentral:lncRNA from 1 species
AAUUUAGUACGUAAAACUUCAAGAAUCGAACAAUGACAUCUUCCACAAACUUUAAUAGUUUCAAAAAUUAACACACAUGUCAACUAGAUUAAGCUCCUGAGAUUCCAAAAAAAAAAAAAUACAAGAAAAUGACUAAAUUGCACUAACCAAUUUAAGCUCCAAAGUUUGAAACUCAAAGGCCAAAUGCUUCCUUCUUCAUCCUCU